AUUCUAUUAACUAAUGGAGCUAGAACUGAUCUUGUGGAUAAAUAUGGUAAAACUCUACUACAUUGUGCUGGUGAAUCUGGUAAAGUUGAAAUGCUUGAGUUUUGGAUUAAGAGAGGAGAAUAUGAUGUGAAUGUGAAAGAUAAAUGGAACAGAACUCCAUUGUUUAAUGCUGUUGAGAGUGGU
rnacentral:lncRNA from 1 species